AUCCUUUUCUGGGUCAUGAGCAUGAUGAUUGGGUGUUCACAUUUGUGUGACAUGUACCUCCCUUGAAUCUUGGUAUACAUUUGGCACAUUACCCACCUGAUA